GAUAUGUCCGUAAGUUUGUGCUGGUACAUCCAUGACCUAUAUUUGGAUACACGGGCUAUAAAAAGCCUUGGAACAAACAACCUCCUGCAGGACUCGGAUCCCCUGUCCCUGCUGUUGCUGCCGGCUUCAGGAGAGAGGAGCAAGCCCGCUCCAGCUUUUAUUCCUCCUCUUGGUGUUCUCCAGGAAGAUGGCUAAAGGCAGCAUCUCCCUGCGCUCCUUGAAUGAGACGCUGAACAGUAUCCAGACAUUUUUAAGCCAACUCAGGUGUCACACAUACAACUGUGGUUUACCUGCAGUAAAAAUGAUGGCUAUCAAGAGCAUCACAGCCAAUGGGAUGCAGUACUUCUGUUUAGGAAAUGAACGAUUAGGUGUUGACAGACUGACAGCUGACAGACUUAGAAAGUGCUCCUCUCCUCGAGAUACUAACAGGGUUCGCCCCCUCUGCUUUAUGACUCCAAUUCAAACAAUGGUGACCACAAAAAUAGAUACUAGAGACCUGACCCGAGGGAGAAAGGCUGGAACCACUCCUGCAGGAAAAAAGUGAAAAUUAAAUCUGUGGUAAACUUCUUGAAGAAGUGUCCAACAGAGUGAGUGAAUGGGCAGAGCUUGGAGGCUGCACUGGUCUGGAAAAUAAAACCCACGUGACAGCUCUAAAA